ensembl:lncRNA
GACUGCGCCCCGGGCGGCCGCAGGUCUGGGCCGGCCCCGGAGUAGGGGGGCCGCGGCGGGCGGCUCGUGCGUGCCAAGCGCGACAUGGCGCGGAGGCCGAGCAGCCCCGGAGGCCCAGUGAGCACGGGGAGGGGCUAGAAGCCGGCCGGACAACCAUUAGCGAGCGGGGGCCGGGCGGCUCGGGAACUAUAUUUCCCAGGGGGCGUAGCGGCCGCGGCCGGAAGCGGCGCGCCUGAGGCCCAGUGCGCAGGCGCCUGCGUCGCCUUGGUCUAUAUAAGGAAGGUCCGCCAUCGCCGUCGUUCUUUCGUUCCUGAGACGCCCUGGUGUCCCUUUUGUGUGCGAUGUCUCGUCCACGCGGGAGUUAUUUGCGGAUGGUUGGCUUGAUGAAGCGACACGGAGCAGGGGUUGGAGGGAUAGAAGACGGCACCUUUGCGCCUCCAGGGAGAUGAGAGAAUACAUCUGCGGUCUUCGACCUCCUAAUCUCUUCAAGGUUUGCUGACAGCCAAGACGAGGUUUUGAAUGGAGAAAGAAUCCGGAAGUCAGACAGGAUUGGCCUGAGGGAGCCAUGGAUGCCAGUGUGUGGAUCUGCUCUUGCUUGAUUUCAGUGUCCUGAAACCGGCACUUCUCUGGAGCACAGACCUUGAUCAGCGCCGCUUCCUGCUGGCCCUGUUCCAUGAGGACCAAGGGCUAUGUAUAAUCCAAAAGGAGUUUUCUUUCUAGACUUGGGUAUGGUAUAGUGUGUGCUUUCACUGGAAAUACUAAAUAACAGACACCUUUGGCCUCCUGUCUGUAGAAAUAAAAAUCUGACCAGGAGUACCUCCCCCACGGUUUCUAUGGUCAUUCCUUGAUUAGUGUUUAGUAAAGAGAACCAGGACUUAACAGCCAUCAAAUGGCUACCUGGAGGUUCACUUUGGCAUCUGCAGGACACUUCGAUUCAGGGUACCAAAUCUAGACUCUUAAAACACGCUAGGCAACCUGUCACAAGGAUGUGAAGGUCCUAAGACAACUUGGUACUGAGAUUUUGUUUCAGGGGUCAGGAUCACACUUGGGCUUGUGUGGUAGUGCUUUUACUGUAUGAGCCCAAAGCCUGAGUUUUAGGUUUAUUUUACCUGUGUAUGUGCACCACUUGGUAUUCCCUCAAACUGCAGAGCUAGAUCCACCUGCCUCUGAGUACUGGGAUUCAAGGUGCUUGCCACCAUAUCUGGACACAUGGGCUGAAUUUUGAAAAGAGAAAUAAGGGGCUGGAGAGAUGGCUCAGUGGUUAAGAGCACUGACUGCUCUCCUAGAGAACUUGUCUUCAAUUCCCAGCACCCACAUGGCAGCUCACUGCUGUCCAGUUCCGGGGGAUUUGACACUUCACACCAAUGCACAUAAAAUAAAAAGUUAAAUGUUUUCAAAACAGAAAUGGGUGAUAGGUAGGUAGAUCCUCUAAGUAUGCUUUUAAGAAGUGGUAUUUUUGUGAAUAACACCUGAAAUCCACUCUGGUGGGACAAAGGGGUUUUUUUGUGGGAGUGCUUAAAGGACAGCUGCUUUCUGGAUGUGGUUAUUCCAGGGUUUGCCUGGCUGUCUCAACCCAGUUUCUUCCCAUUUACAUUCUAAGAAUAACCAUGCUGUUUAAAAGUUACCUACCAGGUUCCAUGCCAAGGCCUAGCAUCUGUAGAACCCUGUCUCUGCUGUGGCAAGAGAUAACCUUAUUGCCCCAGUUUUGUGGGUGAGGGAAGUGGCAGUCAGCAAAUGGCUCUGCUGUGUCCCUUGCCUGGUCCUCUUUGCUGGAUGCUCCCAGGAAGAUAAAAGGGACAGCUCUC